GAUAAAGUAUUAUAUAAGGGUAAGAGCCCCUCCAACUCCU
rnacentral:tRNA from 1 species